GGAUCCAGCAUUGCCACAGCUGUGGCGUAGGUUGCAACUGCAGCUCAGAAGUGAUUCCUGGCCCAAGAAUUCCAUGUGCUGAAGGGAGGCCAAAAAAGAAAAAAUAAACAUUUUUUAAAAUAAAUAAAGGAGUUCCGGCUGUGGUGCAACUGAAUUGAUGGCACCUUGGGAGUGCUGGGAUGCAAUUUUGAUCCCCAGCCUGAAACAGUGGGUUAAGGAUCUGGCAUUGCCACACCUGUGGCUUCCUUUGCAACUGUGGCUCAGAUCUGAUCUCUGGCCCAGGAAUGCCCUGUGCCUCAGGGCAGCCAAUAAAUAAAUAAAUAAAUAAAUAAAUAAAUUCCCAUCAUCAGUUACCAUUUCUAAUUAAAACACAGCCUUAAUUUUCCUCCCUCACUGUGGGAGGCUGGUCUUUAUUUACUCUGGGGCCCCUUCAUUUGCAUGAAGGAUGGAGAAAUCACAGUGGCAGCUGGCAGACUCCAGGGACAGCAGGAUGCCAUGGCAACCACUUCCAUCAGUAACUUAAUUUCAUCUCUGCUUUUGCAUCUUUCUUCAGUCUCGAAGCUGGGAAUAUUUUUAAUUUGGAAAGAACAUAAGAUGGCAUGUGGUUGCUAUGCCAACAGCGAAUACUUCCUAAUGGGCUUGAAUAUCACACAGGAAACCAUGAGCAACUCUCAGAUCUUAGACCUCAAGGAGGUACAGCAAGGCUUCACGCCCUCCCUUGGCUGAGGGCACCAGUCGCCACAGGCACCCACCAGCCUGCCUUGAAGUCCCUACCCAGGCUGCUUGGUCUGGCCUCCCUGGGGGUCUUAGGCAGACAGGGAAGGGGGGCAGGAGGGGGAUGCUUUGGAUAAUUGCUUUAGGCCUCUUUCUACCCCUCAAGCCCAGUGUGUUCACUUGCUGGGCCCGCCAUACCAAAGGACCACAGGCUGGGCAGCUUCAGCAACGGGAUUUAUGUCUCACAGUCUGCAGGCUAGAUAUACAAGAUCAAGGUGUUGCCUGGUUUGCUUUCUCCUGAGGCCUCUCUCCUUGGCUUAAAGAUGGUCAUCUUCUGUCUGUGUCCCUGAAUGACCACCCUCUGUGUCUCCAUCUCACAAGGACACCAGUUGGGGACCUCCCACUGUGGCAUAAUGGGAUUGGCGGUGUCUGGGGAAUGCUGGGUCACAGGUUCCAUUCCUGGCCCAGCACAGUGGACUAAGGAUCCAUCAUUACUGCAGCUGUGGUUUAGGUUGUGCGACUGUGGCUCAGAUCUGAUCCCUGGCCCGGGAAUGCCAUAUGCCAAUGGGGCGACCAAAAAUGAAUGAAAAGAAAAGGACACCCGUCAGACUGGAUUAGGACCCCGCCACCUCGGAGCCAUGAGGGGCGGAGGGCCCAGGCACUGAGCCAGCUGCAGUGUCCUGCACUCCGUGUUCUAACCCACCUUUGAAACAUGUAACCUGCUCCAUGCCCGAUGUCUGGCCACAUCAUGUUAUACCCUCUUUGCAGCUGGUGCCCUGGGGACCCUUCUGGGGUCUUGGAGCCCAGUUCAGCCCUAAUCACCCUGCAGGAGUCACUCACCCAGCAAAUGUUCUAAGCACUGGGGAUGUGGCCGAGAAGGAACCUCAUCCCCAACCUCGGGGUCUUACAUCCUGGUGAGGCGAGCCAGCAAGAAACCAAACAAAGAAGAUGUGCAGUGAUGUUGAGGAGGGAAAACCAAUACAGGGAAGGAGAGAUGGCAAGUGGCAGGCACAGUGGCCCGCAGGCAUGGCCUCUCUGAUGGGGACACACCGGAGGGGAAUCCGGAGAAAGAAAGGACUUCCAGGGGAGGGGACAGCAAGUGCAGAGUCGCUGCAAAGAAGCAGUGUGCCUGGGUGUUGGUGAGCUGGGGGCUUCAUAUGAAAAAAUUGGUCAAUGCCCCAAAAAUCUGGCCUUCGCUUCUGGAGGUAACCUCUAAGCCCUCAUAGGAGUAUCUGUUUGCGGGCGGCGGGUGCAGGGGGAGUUGCUGGUCUUCAGGCUUCAGACAGUCAAACAAUGUGAUUUAAAGCAGGGAGAACACUCUGGAUAGUAUUCCGGCUGGGCUGACCACACAGGAAUAGACCAAAGGUGUGACUUAAGUGGGCACAUACCCACUCGGGGCUGGAGCCUGAGCUCAGGUCAGGCUAUUAUGGAGCCAAACUGGAUUCACUUGCCUCAGGCAGAAAAGCCUAUCUACUGACACCGGUGGUGCUGAAAGAAAGCCCAGCAUUUACAGCAGGCACUAAGCAAUGAGAACAGGAACCUGAUGCUUAAAAGACCCAAAGUCCCCGAAGGCUUUCAGGGAAAGGUUUUUAAAAACAAGGUAAAGAAGGGGGUUGCUGGGUGUGUGAUCAACUCGUGGACAUUCUUCUGAUUGGUUGUUGGUGAGGUAAUUGCGAGUCAACAUCACCAACCUUCUGGUUCCAACUGGUCUGGGGUCUAGUGCUUUUGGGCAGCAUCCAGUUAACUUCUUCCACCUAGUGGGGGUGUCAGUAUCUGCAGAACAGCUGAAAGGACACGGCUCAGGAUAUUGUCUCUAGGAGUUCCUGUUGUGGCUCAGAGGUAAUGAGCCCAACUAGUAUCCAUGAGGAUGUGGGUUUGACCUCUGGCCUUCCUCAGUGGGUUAUGGGUCCAGUGUUGUCAUGAGCUGUGGUGUAGGUCACAGAUGGGGCUCGGAUCCCACAGUGUUGCUGUGGCUGUGGCAUAGGCCAGCAGCUGCAGCACCAAUUGGACCCCUAGCAUGGGAACUUCCAUAUGCCAAGGGUGCGGCCCUGAAAAGCAGGGGGAAAAAAGAAAAGAAUAUUAUCUCUAGCCCUUGAGGAGGAACUAAACAUCCUUGACUUUGUUUUUGGUUUUUUUUUUUUUUUUGUCUUUUAUAUUUUUAGGGAUGCUCUCAGAGCAUAUGGAGUUUCCCAGGCUGGGGGUAAAAUCAGAGCUAUAGCUGCCAUCCUCCACUACAGCCACAACAACUCAGGAUCCUAGCUGCAUCUGUGACCUAUACUACAGCUCACGGCAACGCCAGAUUCUUAACCCACUGAGCAAGGCCAGGGAUCAAACCUGAGUUCUCAUGGCUGCCAGUUGGGUUCAUGAACCACUGAGCCAUGAUGGGAAGGCCUUGACUUUGUUUAAUGACUAAAAACUAUUAUUAUUUUGUCUUGGUUGACUGUUUCCCUUUCUGCAUUUUCUCACCUCUCUGAUUUAAUUUAUUCUUUUUUUUUUAAACUAUUUAUGGCCAUACCUAUAGUAUAUGGAAGUUGUCAAGCCAGGGGUCGAAUUGAACCUGCAACUGCCAGCCCAUGCCACAGCAACACGGGAUCUGAGCAGUAUCUAUGAUCUACACCACAGCUUGUUGCAACACCAAAUCCUUAAUACACUGAGUGAGGCCAGGGAUCGAACCUGCAUCCUCAUGGAUACUUGUUGGGUUCUUAACCUGCUGAGCCACAAUGAGAACUCCUGAUUCAUUUAUUUAUUUAUUUUUAUUAUAGUUGAUUUACAGUGUUCUGCUAAUUUCUGCUGUAGAGCAAAGUGAACCAGUUAUACAUAUAUAUACACUCUUUUUUCCAAGUUAUCCUCCAUCAUGUUCCAUCACAAGUGAUUAGAUAUCAUUCCCUGUGCUAUACAGCAGGAUCUCAUUGCUUUUCCACUGCAAAUGCAAUAGUUUACAACUACUAACCCCAAACUUCCAGUCCUUCCCACUCCCCACCCCUUGGCAACCACAAGUCUGUUCUCCAAGUCCAUGAGUUUGUUUUUUUUCUGUAGAUAAGUUCAUUUGUGCCAUAUAUUAGAUUCCAGAUAUAAGUGGUGUCAUAUGGUAUUUGUCUUUCACAUUCUGACUUACUUCACUUAGUAUGAGAGUCUCAUUCCAUCCAUGUUGCUGCAGAUGGCAUUAUUUUGUUCUUCUUAUAGCUAAGUUAGUAUUCCUUUUUGUAUAUGUACCACAUCUUUUUCUAACUCAAUAAAUUUUAUUACAUUUAUAGUUGUACAACCAUUAUCACAACCCAGUUUUAUAGCAUUUCCAUCCCAAACCACCAGGCCAUCCUCCUACCCCCAACCUGUCUUCUCUGGAAACCUGUCCCGAGAUACAUUUCUCUGAAAAAUCCAUCUUGUCCUUUACUUUAUCCCGUCUUCUUGCUUUACUUUAGCCAAUCUUCCUGCUUGGAAAAACAGUCACAAUGCUGGUAAAUGACUUAAGCUUAAGAACAAAGACUGUUAUGUGCCUAAAGGUCAGAGUAAAAGCUUAACCUUUUACCAGCUAAGUGGCUUUUAAAAUAGUAAAAGAACUUAUAAAAUAGUAAACAAACCCUAUAUCCACUACACCCAUAGCUCCUCCUCACUUGAUCUCAUCUAAAGAGCACAAAGGUGUGGUUUCUUGAGGCAGGGCUCUUGGUCCUUGAGACCUUGAGUCCCAUGGUUCCCACCUUUACUGUCUCUGUGUCUGGUUUUAUGUUAACUUUUUUCCUUAAGUUUCACAGUACCCGUUCUUCAGCCCCAUCCUGCUGAGCUGGUCUUGGCAGAAAGCAUAAGUUUUUCAGUCUGUGAGUCAGUAUCUCUUCUGCAAAGAAGUCCAUUGUGUUCUUUUUUUAGAUUCCAUAUGCAAGUGAUAGCAUACGAUGUUGGUGUCUCACUGUCUGACCGACUUCACUUAGCAUGGUAAUUUCUAGGUCCAUCCAUGUUGCUGCAAAUGCCGUUUGUUUCUUUCCUUUUAACGACUGAGUAAUAUUCCAUUGUGUAUAUGUACCACAUCUUCUUUAUUCUCUCCUCUGUUGAUGGAUAUUUAGGUUGUUUCCAUGUCUUGGCUAUUGUAUAUCAUGCUGUAAUGAACACUGGAGUACUUGUAUUUUUUCAAGUCAUGGUUUUCUCUGGAUAGAUGCCCAGUAGCAGGAUUGCUGAUCAAAUGGUAAUUCUAUUUUUAGUUUUCUGAGGCAUCUCCGUACUGUUUUCCACAGUGGUUGCUCCAAUUUACAUUCCUACCAACAGUGUUAUGGGGUUCCCUUUUCUCCACACUCUAUCCAGCAUUUAUUGUUUGCAGACUUUUUUUUUUUCUUUUUUGUCUUUUUAGGGCCGCACCCAUGGAAUAUAGAGAUUCCCAUUAGCAGUCUAAUCGGAGCUGUAGCUGCUGGCCUACUCCAUAGCAACAGCAUACCAGAUCCGAGACUUGUCUAUGACCUACAUCACAGCUCACAGUAACGCCAGAUCCUUGACCCACUGAGCGAGGCCAGGGAUCAAAACUGCAACCUCAUGGUUCCUAGUUGGAUUUGUUUCUGCUGUGCCACAACAGGAACUCCUGUUUCUAGACUUUUUGAUGAUGGCCAUUCUGGCUGGUGUAAGGUGGUACCUCAUCGUGGUUUUGAUUUGCAUUUCUCUAAUAGUAAUGUUGAAUAUAUUUUCAUGUUUUUUGGCCAUCUGGAUGUCUUAUUUGGAGAAUUGUCUGUUUAGAUAUUCUGCCCAUUUUUAGAUGGUCUUGUUUUUUGGUAUUGAGCAGCAGGAGGUAUUUAUAAAUUUG
rnacentral:lncRNA from 1 species